CCUACGGGUGGCAGCAGUGAGGAAUAUUGGUCAAUGGCCGAGAGGCUGAACCAGCCAAGUCGCGUGAGGGAAGACGGCCCUACGGGUUGUAAACCUCUUUUGUCGGGGAGCAAAGCGUACCAUGUGUGGUUCAUUGCGAGUACCCGACGAACAAGCAUCGGCUAACUCCGUGCCAGCCGCCGCGGUAAUACGGGGGAUGCGAGCGUUAUCCGGAUUUAUUGGGUUUAAAGGGUGCGCAGGCGGAGGUGCAAGUCAGCGGUCAAAUUGCGGGGCUCAACCCCGUACUGCCGUUGAAACUGCAUCCCUUGAGUGCGCGAGAGGUAUGCAGAAUGCGUGGUGUAGCGGUGAAAUGCAUAGAUAUCACGCAGAACUCCGAUUGCGAAGGCAGCAUACCGGCGCGCAACUGACGCUCAUGCACGAAAGCGUGGGUAUCGAACAGGAUUAGAUACCCCAGUAGUC
rnacentral:rRNA from 1 species